CCUGGGUUGCCUGGGAGACCCCAAGAUGCCAGAGCCCUUGGGAUACCUACUGAGGAAAACACUAACAGCCCAAGAGAGAGUAACCUUGGGCCAUGCGUGCACUGGGCAAGUCCUCUGCCCCUGGGUCCCAUCCCUGGCAUGAAGCUAAAGCCCCUUUGCAGACCCGACCCUGAUUCAUUCUCCUCUUUCCUUAUAGAGGGACUGCAUCCAUCUCGUGAAAUCCAAGCCCCUGCUACCUGGGGGUUUCUGACAGGAAACUGUAGCUGACACCUGGUUCUUGCCUCAGGACCAUGGCUCCAAGGGACCAGAGAAGGAGCACCAGGAGGAAAUUGGCUCUUGUGGAUCAUGUUGCAGCUUGGAGACCAGACAGGAGCCCAGCAUGGCCGUACUUGGAAAGGCCCAACAAGCAGCUGGAGGAGCCAGAUGCAAAUGCUUACACCCAACCAAUGAUCCGAAGCUGGGGACCUCUGUGGUUAAAUUACGGAAAAGUUGGAAGAAGCUGAGGUGGAGGGUGGCUCCAUUGGAAGACCCCAGUCUCAACUGACCUGGAUCCUCGAGAUCUCUCAGAUACUGGGCCACCAACCAGGCAGCAUACAUCAGCUGGUAGGAGGACCCAGACACAGAUACAGCAGAGGACUGCCUUGCCUGGCCUUAGCGAGAGAAGAUGGACCGAGAGAACGGUCCAGAUACUUGAGGCCCCAGAGAAUCGGGAGGCCCGG
ensembl:lncRNA LOC120096691 uncharacterized LOC120096691